AUACACACAGACAUACUGACAUACACACAGACAGACGUACUGGCACAUACACACAGACAUACAUUAAAACAUUCACAGAUACAUACUGACACACAUACACUGACACACAAAUAUAUCCUGGCAGACAUACUGACACACACGUACACACACACACAGAGACAUACCUACAUACACACACACACACACACACACAGACAUACUGACACACACACACACAGACAUACUGACACACACACACAGAGACAUACUGACACACACACACACACACACACACACACAGACGUACUGACAUACAUUUAGCCACCCUCCAGGUUCUUACCUUUUCCUGGAGGGUGGUUUCCCUGGUCCAGUGGCAGGCUGAGGCAGAUGGGAGUUCUCCUCUGGAACUCCCCUCCUCCCUGCCUUCCUCCUCCCGCGCGGCUAUCUCCGGUGGGAGGAAGUGACGUCAC